GAGUUUGAUCCUGGCUCAGAAUCAACGCUGGCGGCGCGCUUAACACACGCAAGUCGCACGAGAAAGUGGAGCAAUCCAUGAGUAAAGUGGCGUACGGGUGAGUAACACGUGGAUCAUCUACCUCUUGGUGGGGAAUAACCCUGGGAAACCGGGGCUAAUACCGCAUAAGCCUGCAAAGGGAAAGCAGCAAUGCGCCGAGAGAGGAGUCCGCGGCCGAUUAGCUAGUUGGUAGGGUAAUGGCCUACCAAGGCAAUGAUCGGUAGCCGGCCUGAGAGGGCACACGGCCACACUGGCACUGAAACACGGGCCAGACUCCUACGGGAGGCAGCAGUGGGGAAUCUUGCACAAUGGAGGAAACUCUGAUGCAGCGACGCCGCGUGAGCGAUGAAGCCCUUCGGGGUGUAAAGCUCUUUCGACGGGAACGAUAAUGACGGUACCCGGAGAAGAAGCUGCGGCUAACUACGUGCCAGCAGCCGCGGUAAUACGUAGGCAGCAAGCGUUGUUCGGAAUUACUGGGCGUAAAGAGUGUGUAGGCGGUUUUCUAAGUUCGGUGUGAAAUCUCCCGGCUUAACUGGGAGGGUGCGCCGGAAACUGGAGGGCUUGAGUAUGGGAGAGGAAAGCGGAAUUCCUGGUGUAGCGGUGAAAUGCGUAGAUAUCAGGAGGAACACCUGCGGUGUAGACGGCUUUCUGGACCAUCACUGACGCUGAGACACGAAAGCGUGGGUAGCAAACAGGAUUAGAUACCCUGGUAGUCCACGCCCUAAACGAUGCAUACUUGGUGUGAGCCGUUCAUUCGGUUCGUGCCGGAGCUAACGCGUUAAGUAUGCCGCCUGGGGAGUACGGUCGCAAGGCUGAACUCAAGGAAUUGACGGGGGCCCGCACAAGCGGUGGAGCAUGUGGUUUAAUUCGACGCAACGCGAAGAACCUUACCUGGGCUCGAACGGCUUCGGACAAUCCUUUGA
rnacentral:rRNA from 1 species